ACAGGGAUUGCCUUAGUAACGGCGAGUGAAGCGGCAACAGCUCAAAUUUGAAAUCUGGCCCUCGGGUCCGAAUUGUAAUUUGUAGAGGAUGAUUUUGGUGCGGUAUCUUCCGAGUUCCUUGGAACAGGACGCCUUAGAGGGUGAGAGCCCCGUACGGUUGAAUGCCUAGCCUCUGUAAAUCUCCUUCGACGAGUCGAGUAGUUUGGGAAUGCUGCUCUAAAUGGGAGGUAAAUUUCUUCUAAAGCUAAAUAUUGGCCAGAGACCGAUAGCGCACAAGUAGAGUGAUCGAAAGAUGAAAAGCACUUUGAAAAGAGGGUUAAAUAGCACGUGAAAUUGUUGAAAGGGAAGGAUUUGUGACCAGACUUUUUCUGGGCGGAUCAUCCGGGGUUCUCUCCGGUGCACUUUGCCCAGUAAAGGCCAGCAUCGAUUUUCGGCGGCGGAUAAAAGCAGUGGGAAUGUGGCUCCCCACGGGGAGUGUUAUAGCCCAUUGUAUAAUACGCUGCUGGGGAUCGAGGUACGCGCUUCUGCAAGGAUGCUGGCGUAAUGGUUAUCAAUCACCCGUCUUGAAACACGGACCAAGGAGUCGAACAUUUAUGCGAGUGUUUGGGUGUUAAACCCUCACGCGUAAUGAAAGUGAACGGAGGUGAGAGCCCGUACGGGUGCAUCAUCGACCGAUCCUGAAGUUUUCGGAUGGAUUUGAGUAAGAGCAUAACUGUUCGGACCCGAAAGAUGGUGAACUAUGCGUGGAUAGGGUGAAGCCAGAGGAAACUCUGGUGGAGGCUCGCAGCGGUUCUGACGUGCAAAUCGAUCGUCAAAUCUGCGCAUGGGGGCGAAAGACUAAUCGAACCA
rnacentral:rRNA from 1 species